rnacentral:rRNA from 1 species
AAUCAACGCUGGCGGCGUGCCUCAGACAUGCAAGUCGAACGAUUAAAGCUCUCUUCGGAGAGUGCAUAAAGUGGCGCACGGGUGAGUAACACGUAAGUAAUCUACCUUCGAGUGGGGAAUAACGUCCGGAAACGGACGCUAAUACCGCAUAACGCAGCGGCAUCGCAAGAUGACAGUUGUUAAAGAUUUAUCGCUUGAAGAGGAGCUUGCGGCAGAUAGCUUGUUGGUAAGGUAACGGCUUACCAAGG